AUGAGCACAACAAACACAAAACACAUUUACAAACUCUCAGUGAAAAAAGCCACAAGAAGAACAAGAAGAAAACAAAUGGAAGAAAAAUGCAAGUCUAAGAAGAAGCUCUCACAGAAGCUAAAAGCACUUAAAAAUUUAAUCCCUUCUCACCAUAGAGAUGAAGUCAAAACUGAUGAAUUGUUCAAAGAAACUGCUGAUUAUAUUGUUUUUCUUAGGACAAGGGUUUUCAUUCUUCAGAAGCUUGUGGAGAUUUAUGGAAACAACAACAAUGAGAAUCAAAUUGAUGUAUUGUUAUAG